UUGUGCUAAGCACACCUUUAUAUAGGAUUUCUCUCCAGGAAUUCUGGCUUCUCUCCCAUACAGCAAUCACUAGUGGCAUCCCUAAUUGGCUGGCUGGAGCUUUACUGUGAAAGACUGCAAGCAAGGACUGAUAAGAAGCUGCAACAAACCCUUUCUACCUGGCCUGCUGCCCUUAUUAAGCCUCUGAGAGAGCCAAUAUCUUUUUCUCUCUCUCCUCGAAGACGUGGUUAAUGGUUUCAUUCUGCAAAGAAAUGUGACAUUGUUUUCUAUCAAUUCUGAGAAUGGCCAACUAAAACAAAAAUAUUGUUAAAAAUAAAUCAAAUGUCUAGUAUA